rnacentral:rRNA from 1 species
CAUGGCGCCUGUUUAUCAAAAACAUGGUUUUUUGGAAUAAUAAAAAAUCUAACCUGCUCCAUGCAUUAGUAAAUAGCCGCAGUAUUAUGACUGUGCUAAGGUAGCAUAAUCAUUUGUCUUUUAAAUGAGGUCUCGGAUGAAAGGUUGGUCGAAGGAAAAACUUUCUCUUUACUAGAUAAUGAAUUUAAUUAGUUAGUAAUAAGGCUAAUAUAAAUUUGAGGGACGAUAAGACCCUAUUGAGCUUAAUUAUAUAAUUUUACUGGGGUGGUAUUAUAAGAAAAAAAUCUUAUUUUAAAUAAAUGAGACUUAUUGACCCAAUAAUAUUGAGGAAAAGAUAAAGCUACCAUAGGGAUAACAGCUUAAUUUUUCUUUGAAGUUCUUAUUUGAAGGGAAGAUUGAGACCUCGAUGUUGAAUUAAAGAAUCUAUUUAGUGUAGAAGCUAACUUUAGAAAGUCUGUUCGACUUUUAAAUCUUUACGUGAUCUGAGUUCAGACCGGCCAUG